rnacentral:tRNA from 1 species
GCAGGGGUGGCUGAGCUUGGUCAAAGGCGCAGGGCUUAGAACCCUGUCUCUUAGGAGUUCGAGAGUUCAAAUCGGCUUUUCACCGUGGGAAAAGAAAAACUUCCAACUUUGAAAAUCUCUCCCCCUGCA